rnacentral:tRNA from 1 species
GGAGAGAUGGCUGAGUGGCUUAAAGCGGUGGUCUCGAAAACCAUUGUACUUAUAGUAAAGUAUCAAGGGUUCGAAUUCUUUUCUCUCCG